rnacentral:rRNA from 1 species
AACGAACGCUGGCGGCAGGCCUCAUACAUGCAAGUCGAGCGAUUAAGACUCCUUCGGGAGUGUAUAAAAGCGGCGAACGGGUGAGUAACAGGUGGAUGAUCUACCUUCCGGUGGGGGAUAACGGCUGGAAACGGCCGCUAAUACCGCAUUCGGUUAAUACGCUGUGGCGUAUUAAAGAAAGGCGCCUCAAAGCGCCGCCGGGAGAUGAGUCCGCCCCCCAUUAGCUAGUUGGUGAGAUAACAGCUCACCAAGGCAACGAUGGGUAGCCGAACUGAGAGGUUGAUCGGCCACACUGGAACUGAGACACGGUCCAGACACCUACGGGUGGCAGCAGUAGGGAAUAUUGGGCAAUGGGCGAAAGCCUGACCCAGCCAUGCCGCGUGAGUGAUGAAGGUCCUAGAGAUUGUAAAACUCUUUUCUGAGGAAAGAAUGAAUAGGGAAGGAAAUGUCCUUAUUUUGACGGUACCUCAGGAAUAAGGAACGGCUAACUCCGUG